rnacentral:ncRNA from 2 species
CUCCAUUCCGAGGGGGGCCGGCUGCAGCCGGCUGAGAUGGUCCUGACGCGGGCCCACCACCCUUAGAACCUGAUCCGGGUCAUGCCGGCGAAGGGACGGGAAGCUUGUCGUCA